rnacentral:rRNA from 1 species
GAUGAACGCUGGCGGCGUGCCUAAUACAUGCAAGUCGAGCGAAUGGAUUGAGAGCUUGCUCUUAUGAAGUUAGCGGCGGACGGGUGAGUAACACGUGGGUAACCUGCCCAUAAGACUGGGAUAACUCCGGGAAACCGGGGCUAAUACCGGAUAACAUUUUGAACCGCAUGGUUCGAAAUUGAAAGGCGGCUUCGGCUGUCACUUAUGGAUGGACCCGCGUCGCAUUAGCUAGUUGGUGAGGUAACGGCUCACCAUGGCAACGAUGCGUAGCCGACCUGAGAGGGUGAUCGGCCACACUGGGACUGAGACACGGCCCAGACUCCUACGGGAGGCAGCAGUAGGGAAUCUUCCGCAAUAGACGAAAGUCUGACGGAGCAACGCCGCGUGAGUGAUGAAGGCUUUCGGGUCGUAAAACUCUGUCGUUAGGGAAGAACAAGUGCUAGUUGAAUAAGCUGGCACCUUGACGGUACCUAACCAGAAAGCCACGGCUAACUACGUGCCAGCCGCCGCGGUAA